rnacentral:lncRNA from 1 species
GUACAUCAAUAUUUCACACUGAUAUUUCCUGUGACAUUUAGUGGUCCACAAGAAAAAAAGUUAAUAGUAGCAUGAUUCUCCAAACAACGCUAAUCAGUAGAUCGAUGUUACAAAAAGAGUCCACCAAAGUUGUCCUAAUUUAUCCAGAAUUAGAAAAAAAGUGCACUGUCAAAUUAAAGUUUGAAAACCAAAAUGUAAGAGAAAAGAAUUACAUAUAUGGUAAGAAAACUCUAAGGCUUUAUAGUUAUAAGUUAUAACCACCCCCUCACUGUACUCAAUAAACCUAUCCCUCACGUGUAACACCCAAGUGAAAAUCAUAAAGGAAUAAGGCAAUAAAACUAUGCAGAGAAUUAAUGAAUUCAAAAUAAUCCACAAUCCAAGAGUUCAUCAAAAUAAACCUAAUUGCUUUAUGUUGCACAAUCCAACCAAUCAUCGAGCAAAAUGUUCACGACAAUCAUCUAGGAAUAUUCCAUAUGACGUCUACAAGAAACUUAUGAAGAAACCCAAAAAAAUAAAAUCGUAAUAUAUACAAAGAAACAUGACAAAUUAAUAGUCAUAGUAGAGAUCACCCGAUGAAGUACAACAACAACAAUAACUAAUUGCAGCCUCUUGUGUCAUUUAGGCCCCCCUUUUGCCAAGUUCUUGCACCAGUUGCAGAUUCUGUGAGGAUACCCAUAUGGGAGAGGUGAUUUUUAGUUUCAUAACCUCUCUCCCCUGAAACACCAAGCAGAAUGUCUACGACGCCUACAUGGAACUCACAAAGAAAUCGAGAAAACAUGACCUUAAUAUAUACAAAGAAACAUGAAAAACUAAUAAUAGUCAUAGUAGAGAUCACCAGAUGAAAGUACAGCAACAACCAAUUUCAGACUCUUGUGCUCAAUUAGGCUCCCCUUAUGCCAACCAAGUUCUUGCACCAAUUGCAGAUUCGCUGAGGGAUACCCAUAUGGGAGAGAAGAUUUUUAAUUUCAUCUUAUAUAUCACAUAUGACAAGAAUAAAAAUGAAAAAAGAAAAAAGAAAUUAUAACAAAGGAAAUGGCAAAUCAACAAAAUUAAAAAAUUCCUUAUCCUCGGGAUAGAGAUGUUCCCUAAAAUCCGGAAUGGUUUCUUGUAUGCCUCCAACUAAAACAUGACGCACCAUUAGAGGACAAAUAUCCCAAAUACCAAAACAAAUAGACCAUAUGUGACCAAAAAAUAGAAUGUUCUUUCCCAAAGCUAUAGACAGAAAGAAUGUGAACCUUGACUGCAGAUAUAAUCAGGUUCCAUAGGUUAUCUCCUGUGUAAUAUCCAAACACAGAGACUAAGGACAUGACAAAAGUAGAUGUUGCGUAUCAAAAUCAAACAAAGAUCGAAAGGAGAAGAGUAUUGAUUUUGUGUAGCUUAAUCGAGAUUGGAAGAGAAUUGUGCAGCAAAAGCUUCUAAUUCUGAGAAUUGUGCUAAUUCCAAUUUUAAUUUACCCGCUACUUGUUUCAUGGCUUUUAUUUGAUCCGCCGAUCCAACUCUGGAAUCGGAAAUACCCACAUUAAUUACAGGUCUGAUCCCAGCAUUGAAUAAAUCGGCAUAUAAGAAUAUUUGACCAUCUGUAAUAGAAAUGACAUUAGUAGGAAUAUAAGUUGAAACAUCUCCGGAUUGGGUCUCAACUAUUGGUAAAGCAGUCAUACUUCCUUCACCUAACUAAGAACUUAGUAGAGAUGACCAAACUAGAGUGUAGCAGCAGAGAGAGUACAUAGCCCACCAAACUAGAGUGUAGCAACAGAGAGAGUACAUAGCCCACAAAGUAUGAGGAUUCAUAGGGAACAAAUUCCGCCCAACUCAAGAGAUCAUGUAAUGAUAAUUUUGGUUUCAUCCUAAUAGAAAGUCUUUGGCCACUGCAACAGAGAGGAUAUCUUUUAGGAGUAUGUAUCAUAAUCAUCUUAAAUCACAAAUAAAAACCAUAACAGAAGAAUAUAGAAAACCUAUCCAGAAAAAGUUAAGUUCUCCCCAUCCAACCAACCAUCAUAACAAACAAAACAUCUUAUAAAAAAUUCCUCAACUUGGAAGUGGAAAAGUAAUCCCAUAAAUCUUGUAUGUUAAGCCAGACUAUAACUCAGUUCCUAGUAUAGAAACGCACAAAAGCUUCACUGCCCGAAGAACUGCAAAAACUUAGACACAAGCAUGUAAGUAAAAAAAAACGCAGAUCCUCAAAAGAAGAUCUCCAUGCCUACACUUUGAGAACAGCAAUCAACACAAGAAAACAAGAACAAAAAAACUGAAAUCAAAGCACAGCAAGAAAUGUGAAAUUAAUGGCAUCUACUAACUGAGAAAAGGUAUCAAUACAAAAAUCCCUAACAACCUCGUUCAUAGCAGCCGGUCCAAGAAAUCAAGAACAACAAAACCUGAAAUCAAGCCUUCGUAGAGCAAUUAACUCGCCAACUCAUCAGGUAAUCAAGAAAAGAGACAAAGUAUGGCACAAGAACGAGAACAAGCAAACUAUGGAAUCAAGAAAUCAAAACCAUACCCUCUCCUGCAACCACCAAAGGCUCCAAGGAGGAGAAAAACAGGUUCACUAUUCAAUGAAGAAAUCUGAAACUAUUUCUCGUUCUUAGGUUAUCUCCUGUGUAACAUCCAAACACAAGAGACUAAGGAUUUGACAAAAGUAGAUGUUGCGUAUCAAAAUCAAACAAAGAUUGAAAUGAGAAGAGUUUUAGUAGAGAUGGCCAAACUAGAGUGUAGCAACAGAGAGAGUACAUAGCCCACAAAAUUCCAUUCAACUCGAGGGAUCAUGUAAUGAUAAUUUUGGUUUCAUCCUAAUAGAUAAGUCUUUGGGCCACUGCAACAGAGAGGAUAUAUUUUUAGGAGUAUGUAUCAUAAUCAUCUUAAAUCACAAAUAAAAACAUCAUAACAUAUGAUUAUAGAAAACCCAUCCAGAAAAGUUAAGUUCUCCCCAACCAACCAAUCAUCAUAACAAACAACAGAUCUUGUAAAAAAUUCUUUAACAUGGAAGGGGAAAAGUAUCCCAUAAUCUUGUUUGUUAAGCCAGACUAUAACUCAGUUCCUAGUAUAGAAACGCACAAAAGCUUAUAGAAAACAGAAACCACCAGCAUGUAAGUAAAAAAAUCCCUAGGAUGAAUGAGAAAGUGUGAAAAUCUAAGCAAGUGUCUUUGUCACCAAGUUAAGUAGUUCACACCGCAGAAGAACUCAUCAUCUCCAAUAUCUCCAAAUUCAGACUGCAAACACUCAACACCCCGCAGAAGAACUCAUCUCCAAUAUCUCCAAAUUCAGACUGCAAACACUCAACACCAAAUGAAUCAACGGCAAAUGAUACAUUUACUCAUAUAUUUUACAGUGUCAUGUCCAUUGUAUCAAGAUUCGGAGAAAAAAUUUGAUUUAUCUACGGGAGAAAAAAUUUGAUUUACUUAUAUAUCAAGAACUCUUAACUCACUGCAUAACGGGAGAAAAAUAAUUGUUGUCUCAAUUAAAACAAAAAUUGAAAUGUUAAGUAUCUUAUUAGUAGAGAUGACCAAAUUAAAGCAUACAACACAGCCUGCAGAACAUGCUGGUUCUUUGGAACAGAUGCCUAUCCAAUUUGCAGGAUCUUGUCCUCAUCUGAAAAAUUAUAAUUAAGCUUCCACUUAAAACCAGGCGAUAUUGAUUUAGGAGUACAAGUCAUAAAUCACAACUAACAAUCAAAACAUAAACAAUAAAAGAAUAUCGUCACUCCCUUGCCAAUGUGUCCCCAACAAACAGAUUGUCAAAGCAAAUAACACCAACCAAGAUGUCCAUUUCUCUUUAGAACUACCUUUUUUGAGUUCUCUAAUUCUCUUUCCACAAAAGUAACAGCUGCUUGCAUCUUCUCGUAGAUUUCAAUAUCACUAUUCACUAGUCUUUCGCACUUUCAACCAAUUUUUCUGAUCAUCAGACCGCUUGAGGAAGAACACCAUUUGAAGGUGUUAAUCCAAGUAGUCCACAAAGCAAAGUCUGAAAUGUUCUAUUCAUAACAAAAAGUUAGGUAUGAUUAUAUUAGUGAUGAUGAGUUUCAUAAUUGGUAUAUAACGAUAGAUACCAUGAAUCGGAGUAAGAAUAUGUCAUAAUGAUAUGCAGAAGGUUUCUUGAGAUUGAAUUUUUUUUGUUGUGCCAUCCCAGAAGCAACACUAUGAUCAAAGAAGUAAAGUCCUGCUACUAUCAACGCAGGAAUAAAAGCAGAAAAAAACCUAUGCUGGAGAAACCUUCCCCAUGUCAUGUGUCAUGUGUUACAAUCUAUUAUUAGUUGAUUUAGUCAUUUUUGAAAGAAAAACCAAACUAGGCUUUAUUUCAACGUGAAUUACUUUGAUAACUGUCCAAUGGUGUAAAGAUGUAGGGGACAUUUUUAACCCAAUCAAAAAGGCUCAUGUAACAAUAAAAGGCUCACCAGAAAUGUGCAAACUUUUUUACUGUCAAAUUAUAGACCAAAAACCAAAAUUUAUAUCAUACACUUUUGUGGGAAAAAAGUAGUAUUUACGGUAAUAACCUCCAAGUGAAAAUCAUAAAAGAGUAAAUCAGGAAGAGGUGCAAUAAAAAUUGAAACAAAAUAAACCUGGGGACUGAUUCUACACAAUGUUAUUGUUUCAAAACACAACUCUGCAGAAGAAGAAAAAAAGAGUCAUUUCAGUUGAUAUGUAUGGCGAUGAAUACCAGAAGCGAAUACAACACAUGAAGACCGAACAACUGAAAAUAAAACAAACUACGUGUGUUCACAAAAUUACAUUUCCUGCAACACCAGAGAAAAUAAUAAAUUAAGAAAAAUGAUUUCAACAGCGAGAAAGAAUUGUUGUAAACCAGACAAUUUUUGAGAAAAUAAUAAAUUAAGAAAAAUGAUUUCAACAGCGAGAAAGAAUUGUUGUAAACCAGACAAUUUUUAAAGAAAUCAUCAAAUCAAAACUCAGAGGCUCGACUAUAUUGAAAGAUAGUUAUUAUUUAACAAUAGUUGAAAACUAGAAGGAGUUUAAAAGAAAUCACCAAAACAAACUCAGAAGCUCCACUCUAUAAUGAAAGAUAGAGAUUAUUUUGGCAAACCACUGCAGAAAAACAAGUUCACAAUUCGAUUUGUAUGUAAUGUGAUCAAAGCCAGAAAAUAAAAAUGAUAUAGAAUGAGUCGUUGGAGGAAUUGAUUUAUAUCGGUGGCUCUUGUUCUUAUCCACAUUAUUAAGAAUUCCCAACGUGCUGCAACAAGGAUAAACACAUCUCAUUACUAUUUUACUUUAAAAAGUAUUGCUUGAUUAUCAAAUGAAUAACUGUCCAUAAAAAACUAUGCAUUAAAUCAAAGAUAAUUGGAAGAACAAUCAAUCAAAACCCGAACAACUCAUCAUCAGCGGUAAAUCAUUAAUAUAAAAUCAGAAAACUCCAAUAUCAUUACCAUCAAGAGAAUUAAUGAAAUCAAAAUAAUCCACAAUCCAAGAGUGUAUCAAAAUAAAACCCAAUUGCUUUAUAUGACACAACAAUAUUUUUAAAAAUAUUGCAUAAUCCAAGAAGAGUGUUAAAAUAAACUUGAUUGCUUGAUACUACAAGUGAUUUUGCAACUCACAAAUUCAACAAAAUAUGAUAAACAUGUAAAUGUAUCAAAACUGCAAAACAUAACCAAUAUUUCCAAAUUAAAGUUCGAAAACCAAAAUGCAAGAGAAAAUAAUUUAUAUAUAUGGUAAGGAAACUCUAAGGCUUUAGUUAUAAGUUAUAACCACCCCCUCACUGUACUCAAUAGAUCUCUCAUGUGUAACACCCAAGUGAAAAUCAUGACGGAAUAAAUAAACUAGGCAAUAAAACUAUGCCGAGGAUUAAUGAAUUCAAAAUUAAUAAUAGUCAUAGUAGAGAUCACCAGAUGAAAGUACAGCAACAACCAAUUGCUGGCUCUUGUGCUCAAUUAGGCUCCCCUUAUGCCAACCAAGUUCUUGCACCAGUUGCAGAUUCGCUGAGGGAUACCCAUAUGGGAGAGAAGAUUUUUAAUUUCGUCUUAUAUAUCACAUAUGACAAGAAUAAAAAUGAAAAAAGAAAAAAGAAAUUAUAACAAAGGAAAUGGAAAAUCAACAAAAUUAAAAUAUUCCUUAUCCUCGGGAUAGAGAUGUUCCCUAAAAUCCGGUAUGGUUUCUUAUAUGCCUCCAACUAAAACACGACACACCAUUAGAGGACAAAUAUCCCAAAUACCAAAACAAAUAGACCAUAUGUUACAAAAAAAAUUGAAUGUUCUUUCCCAAAGCUAUAGACAGAAAGAAUGUGAACCUUGACUGCAGAUAUAAUCAGGUUCCAUUCGUUAUCUCCUGUGUAACAUCCAAACACAAGAGACUAAGGACCUGACAAAAGUAGAUGUUGCGUAUCAAAAUCAAACAAAGAUCGAAAUGAGAUGUGUAGCUUUAUCGAGAUCAGAAGAGAAUUGUGCAAAAGCUUCUAAUUCUGAGAAUUGUGCUAAUUCCAAUUUUAAUUUACCAGCUACUUGUUUCAUGGCUUUUAUUUGAGCCGCCGAUCCAACUCUGGAAUCGGAAAUACAAACAUUAAUUAAGGUCUGAUCCCAGAAUUGAAUAAAUCGCCAUAUAAGAAUAUUUGACCAUAUGUAAUAGAAAUGACAUUAGUAGGAAUAUAAGCUGAAACAUCUCCGGAAUGGGUCUCAACUAUUGAUAAAGCAGUCAUAGUUCCUUCAUCUAAGUGAGAACUUAGUAGAGAUGACCAAACUAGAAUGUAGCCACAGAGAGAGUACAUAGCCCACAAAGUAUGAGGAUUCAUAGGGAACAAAAUUCCGCCCAACUCAAGAGAUCAUGUAAUGAUAAUUUUGGUUUCAUCCCAAUAGAAACAUCAUAACAGAAGAUUAUAGAAAACCUAUCCAGAAAAAGUUAAGUUCUCCCCAUCCAACCAAUCAUCAUAACAAACUGACACAUCUCGUAAAAAAAACUCUUUAACAUGGAAGGGGAAAAGUAUUCCAUAAUCUUGUAUGUUAAGCCAGACUAUAACACAGUUCCUAGUAUAGAAACGCACAAAAGCUUAUAGAAAACAAAAACCACCAGCAUGUAAGUAAUAAAAUCCCUAGGAUGAAUGAGAAAGUGUGAAAAUCUAAGCAAGUCUCUUUGACACCAAGUUAAGUAGUUCACACCGCAGAAGAACUCGUCAUCUCCAAUAUCUCCAAAUUCAGACUGCAAACACUCAACACCAAAUGAAUCAACGCCAAAAGAUUCGGAGAAAAAAAUUGAUUUAUCUACCGGAGAAAAUUUUUGAUUUACUUAUAUAUCAAGAACUCUUAACUCACUGCAUAACGGAUUAGACGCCGUCUCUCAAUUAUCAAAAUCGUUAAUAACAGCAAGAACUGUGAAAUUAAUGGCAUCAGGAAAUCAAGAAAAGAGAGAAAGUAGGUCACAAGAACAACUAGCAAACUAUGGAAUCAAGAAAUCAAAAUCAUACCCUUUCCUGCAACCAUCAAUAACAAAAAAAACCUCUUCAUAGUAGCAGCUAAAUCAAGAAAGAAAAGGACGACGAACCCUAAAAUCGAUAUAUCACAAAUCAAACAGAUAAAUCCGAGCAAUGUACAAUGGAAUGGAACGAGGGAACCGAUGGUUAUAUAGGAUGCGGAGUCAAGAUAGACGGCUAAGAAAACACGGAUGGUGGAACAUUUAAUGGUCACGAUGCAAUUAAAAU